rnacentral:rRNA from 1 species
AGUCGAGCGAGAAGACGUAGCAAUACGUUUGUAAAGCGGCGAACGGGUGAGGAAUACAUGGGUAACCUACCCUCGAGUGGGGAAUAACUAGCCGAAAGGUUAGCUAAUACCGCGUACGCUCCUUGGACUUCGGUUCAGGGAGGAAAGCGAUACCGUGGGUAUCGCGCUCUUGGAUGGGCUCAUGUCCUAUCAGCUUGUUGGUGAGGUAACGGCUCACCAAGGCUUCGACGGGUAGCUGGUCUGAGAGGACGAUCAGCCACACUGGCACUGCGACACGGGCCAGACUCCUACGGGAGGCAGCAGUAAGGAAUAUUGCGCAAUGGGCGAAAGCCUGACGCAGCGACGCCGCGUGGGGGAUGAAGGUCUUCGGAUUGUAAACCCCUUUCGGGAGGGAAGAUGGAGUGGGGUAACCCAUUCGGACGGUACCUCCAGAAGCAGCCACGGCUAACUUCGUGCCAGCAGCCGCGGUAAUACGAAGGUGGCAAGCGUUGUUCGGAUUUACUGGGCGUACAGGGAGCGUAGGCGGUUCGGUAAGCCCUCUGUGAAAUCUCCAGGCUUAACCUGGAACAGUCGGAGGGGACUGCCGGGCUAGAGGACGGGAGAGGAGCGCGGAAUUCCCGGUGUAGCGGUGAAAUGCGUAGAGAUCGGGAGGAAGGCCGGUGGCGAAGGCGGCGCUCUGGAACGUUUCUGACGCUGAGGCUCGAAAGCGUGGGGAGCAAACAGGAUUAGAUACCCUGG